rnacentral:rRNA from 1 species
GUGCAGCAGGCGAAAUACUUUACAAUGUGCGAAAGCACGAUAAGGGAACUCUGAGUGCCUCCUAAGGAGGCUGUUCAGGUGUCUAAAAGCACCUGAAGGAAGGGCUGGGUAAGACCGGUGCCAGCCGCCGCGGUAACACCGGCAGCCCAAGUGGUAGCCACGUUUAUUGGGUCUAGAGCGUCCGUAGCCGGCUGGGUAAGUUCCUUGGGAAAUUUGGCUGCUUAACAGUCAAGCUUUCAGGGAAUACUGCCCGGCUUGGGACCGGGAGAGGUCAGAGGUACUCCAGGGGUAGGGGUGAAAUCCAUUAAUCCUUGGGGGACCACCGGUAGCGAAGGCGUCUGACCAGACCGGGUCCGACGGUGAGGGACGAAGGCUAGGGGCGCGAACCGGAUUAGAUACCCCCGUAGU